AAUGAUUGAUUUUAAUAUAUAGAUAAUAUUAAUAAAAAAUGAAAAGAUAGACACAGCACAUAAGAAACUAAGCACACAAGACAAAAAAAAAAAAGGAAAAUAGGGUAUUUGUGAUAUGAUGAUAUCCCUUUGAGACAGUCUACAAUGUGUUUAAUCAAAAACUUUCACCCAUUCUUGCUAACUCCCCGUCCCACUUCAAUGGUAAUCUAUUGGAGUCUUAGUACCGAGAGCACGCUUAGUAAACUUAUUAUUAUUACCAUCUUCAUUCUUU
rnacentral:lncRNA from 1 species